UACGUAGGGUGCAAGCGUUGUCCGGAAUUAUUGGGCGUAAAGGGCUCGUAGGCGGUCUGUCACGUCAGGAGUGAAAACUCGGGGCUUAACCCGAGCCUGCUUCCGAUACGGGCAGACUAGAGGUAUGCAGGGGAGAAUGGAAUCCUGGUGUAGCGGUGAAAUGCGCAGAUAUCAGGAGGAACACCGGUGGCGAAGGCGGUUCUCUGGGCCGUAACUGACGCUGAGGAGCGAAAGCAUGGGGAGCGAACAGG
rnacentral:rRNA from 1 species